AUACGUAGGGAGCGAGCGUUGUCCGGAAUUACUGGGUGUAAAGGGAGCGUAGGCGGGAGUGCAAGUUAGAUGUGAAAUACAUGGGCUCAACCCAUGGGCUGCAUUUGAAACUGCAUUUCUUGAGUGAAGUAGAGGUAAGCGGAAUUCCUGGUGUAGCGGUGAAAUGCGUAGAUAUCAGGAGGAACACCGGUGGCGAAGGCGUCUUACUGGGCUUUUACUGACGCUGAGGCUCGAAAGCGUGGGGAGCAAACAGGGUUAGAUACCCUGGUAGUCCACGCUGUAAACGAUGAUUACUAGGUGUGGGGGGACUGACCCCUUCCGUGCCGCAGUUAACACAAUAAGUAAUCCACCUGGGGAGUACGGCCGCAAGGUUGAAACUCAAAGGAAUUGACGGGG
rnacentral:rRNA from 1 species